rnacentral:rRNA from 1 species
UACGAAGGGGGCUAGCGUUGCUCGGAAUCACUGGGCGUAAAGGGUGCGUAGGCGGGUCUUUUAAGUCAGGGGUGAAAUCCUGGAGCUCAACUCCAGAACUGCCUUUGAUACUGAAGAUCUUGAGUUCGGGAGAGGUGAGUGGAACUGCGAGUGUAGAGGUGAAAUUCGUAGAUAUUCGCAAGAACACCAGUGGCGAAGGCGGCUCACUGGCCCGAUACUGACGCUGAGGCACGAAAGCGUGGGGGAGCAAACGGGG